GUUGCGGUGGCCGAGGGGUUAAGGCGUUGGACUCGAAAUCCAAUGGGAUCUUCCCGCGCAGGUUCGAAUCCUGCCCGCAACG
rfam:Nematostella vectensis strain CH2 x CH6 NEMVEscaffold_452_Cont27642, whole genome shotgun sequence.